UUGGAGAAGAACAUCAAGUACUGCAGCUUGACUACAAACCUGGUAAUGCUCUGUAGCUUGAAGGAGAAAAAGAGGGGCACAAACUCCAUUGACAAGGAGUUUGGCUACUUCAAUCCCUGUAACACGUGCUACAGCUAUUAAUGUCCCAGUAGCAAGAGCUAUGGCUACUCAAGCCCCAGUGACAAGCACUGGAGUCGCUUCAGGCUCCGCAAAAAACACUGUGGCUACUCAAACUCCAGUGACCAGGACCAUACCUACUCAAACUCGAGAAAUAGUCAUCCAAGUUAGUUUUAUGCCCAGAACAAGAACUGCAGCCACUCAAACUCCAGCUCAGAUCAUGACCUAUUCAUCCUUGCUGCCUCCUAGCAAUGAUGCCACCUGUUUCCAAGAUUAAAGAGAAGCAUGAGUACAA